ensembl:lncRNA
GCGUUAGCACAUGACCAGAAGUUAAUGGUCAUGGCUUCCAGUCACGGCUCUAAUUCUAAUCAACCUUGGCUCGCAAUACGAUUAAGUUAAUACUGGACGCACCUAUUUUACCAAAGCUGACUUUGCUCUCAUCUAAACAAGCAGUUUUCAACACUGUGAGGUGUGAGCCAAAAAUUCCAACUCCAGGCAAGGAGUCUCAAGGUUUGCACACUCCUGGACUAACGGCAUCCUACCCAGCAGAUUGCUCUUAACAGGUGGUGACAUGCAUCUCUGUGUGCCUGGCAGACAUCUCAGCUGGGCUGUUGGCCCAACCCCUCCAUCUUGACCGAGCUGCUCUUUCUUUCAUGGUAGGCCUACCCACUCUAUUUACAUUGGUAGGACUAUGGAGAAGGUGGUCUUGAAACAUCAAAGCAGUGACUCACUCCUGCUGGUUCAUACUCUGAAACAUCUAACCCUCACACAGCAGGGAAUGACCAUCCAAAUCAGGACAUAGACAGAAAUUGGCUAAAUAGUAUAAUGAUCAUUGCCUUAUUCAACUGGGCAUUCAGAGCACCUGAUGAGGGGCAAAGCCAGACAACCAUAUUAAUGUCUUGCUAUUUAAUUUUUUUCUGCCAUGAGGCAGAUAUAAAGAUGUGAACAACUCAAAGGUUUCUAUUGAUUUCUUUUUUAUUGGGAGUGCAUUUUUUGUAUAAGUGUACAGUGU